ACUAAAUAGAUACCCAGGUAGUCCACGCCCUAAACGAUGUCUACUAGUUGUCGGGUCUUAAUUGACUUGGUAAACGCAGCUAAACGCGUGAAGUAGACCGCCUGGGGAGUACGGUCGCAAGAUUAAAACUCAAAGGAAUUGACGGGGACCCGCACAAGCGGUGGAUGAUGUGGAUUGAUUCGAUGCAACGCGAAAAACCUUACCUACCCUUGACAUGGAUGGAAUCCCUGAGAGAUUGGGGAGUGCCCGAAAGGGAACCAUUACACAGGUGCUGCAUGGCUGUCGUCAGCUCGUGUCGUGAGAUGUCGGGUUAAGUCCCGCAACGAGCGCAACCCUUGUCAUUAGUUGCUACGAAAGGGCACUCUAAUGAGACUGCCGGUGACAAACCGGAGGAAGGUGGGGAUGACGUCAAGUCCUCAUGGCCCUUAUGGGUAGGGCUUCACACGUCAUACAAUGGUACAUACAGAGGGCCGCCAACCCGCGAGGGGGAGCUAA
rnacentral:rRNA from 1 species